rnacentral:rRNA from 1 species
AUGCUUAUCGCCUCCGGAUAUUCUCUGUUGUGCACAAUCAUUUUGACCUGUGCCGGCCAGAUGGGUUUACAGAUAGAGUGCAAAUUGCUGAACUUUUUGACCUGCUCUUUGUAUGCAACGCCCAUGUCUAAUGGUGUGUACCAAGUAAGAAUUCUUAUUCGAGAUGUACAUAGAGUGCAAAUUGCUUAUUUCAGACGGAGGGAGUACAUAAAUGCUCUGUUUUCUAGGGAGGGAGAAGAACGCACUUGGACUUGGGAGGAUCUAAGACUCAGCUCAGGACAAUAUUCUAGUUUCUGUGUCUUCUGUCAUUGGUUUCUAUAG